CGCACCAAAAUAGAAUUCAGUGGCGCACCUAUUUCUGCGGCGCAGCUGACCCGCGUGCGCCACAGAAACCUUAAUUCUGUGGCGCAUGGGCAUGUGCGCCACAGAAACCU